UUUUGGUUUAUUGUUUUAUUUGUAUUUUUGAGAAACAAUCAAAUUACAUUGUUAUUGCUGUCAAUGUAUUUAUGUUUGUCCAUUUUAAUGGCGAGAAUUCGCACCUUUCAUAUCAAUGAUAAGAGCACCAAUAUUAAUUUAAUAACGGCGGUUAACUAAAUUACGCGGAUAGCCAACCAGACGAGAAAUAUGCACGUCCUCCCUUCUCGGCGGUUGUUGAAUGACUGAAUUCCCAAAACGAAACAAAGCUACAGCAAGCGUAUCAGCGGAAGAGAGGAACACGGAAUGAAAAGAAACAAAUAUAGAAAUGAAACAUGCGCUCUCUUUAGUAGUGAAGCGAGGGCGUUCAUGUAGCGUACAGAGUACCACAGCAUUGGUGCCGAAUAUUUUCUCUUUGAAAUUGGGAGUAAGUUAACAAAAAUUGAGCGAGCGCGAACGAGCAAAAGGCGAGAUAGAAUGAGAGUGUGUUCAGGUAUCAGUGUAGUGUAUCAUUCAGGAUGUGAUUGGAUAUAGCUAAUAUAAUGUAAUAAAAAUUAAAUAUCUUAUUAUA